AGCUAAAUGCGGAAGAGAUAAGUGCUGAAAGCAUCUAAGCACGAAACUUGCCCCGAGAUGAGUUCUCCCUGAGACUUUAAGUCUCCUGAAGGAACGUUGAAGACGACGACGUUGAUAGGCCGGGUGUGUAAGCGCAGCGAUGCGUUGAGCUAACCGGUACUAAUGAACCGUGAGGCUUAACCUU
rnacentral:rRNA from 2 species